AUUGAACGCUGGCGGCAGGCCUAACACAUGCAAGUCGAGCGAGCGGCGGACGGGUGAGUAAUGCCUGGGAAGCGCGCAGUCGAGGGGUAUAACAGUUGGAAACGACCGCUAAAACCGCAUACGAAUGGCUUGCCUAGGUGAGAUGAGCUAGUUGGGGAGGUAAUGUCUCACCAGGGCGACGUGCCCUAGCUGGUCUGAGAGGAUGAUCAGCCACACUGGAACUGAGACCCGGUCCAGACUCCUACGUGAGGCAGCAGUGGGGAAUAUUGCACAAUGGGGGAAACCCUGAUGCAGCCAUGCCGCGUGUGUGAAGAAGGCCUUCGGGUUGUAAAGCACUUUCAGCGGGGAGGCGUUACUCGCAGAAGAAGCACCGGCUAACUCCGUGCCAGCAGCCGCGGUAAUUC
rnacentral:rRNA from 1 species